rnacentral:rRNA from 1 species
UUCGGUCCUUGCUGCACCCUUGUCUUUUGCGUACCGUAUGUUUCCUCGGCGGGCUUGCCUGCCGGUUGGACAUUAUCAAACCUUUUUGUAGUUGCAAUCAGCGUCAGAAAACAAACAAUAAUUACAACUUUCAACAACGGAUCUCUUGGUUCUGGCAUCGAUGAAGAACGCAGCGAAAUGCGAAAAGUAGUGUGAAUUGCAGAAUUCAGUGAAUCAUCGAAUCUUUGAACGCACAUUGCGCCCCUUGGUAUUCCAUGGGGCAUGCCUGUUCGAGCGUCAUUUUGUACCCUCAAGCACUGCUUGGUGUUGGGCGUUUGUCCUGCAAAGGACUCGCCUGAAAGCGAUUGGCGGCCAACGUACUGGUGGUAGAGCGCAGCACAAUUUGCGUCUCUCUCCUCUGCGUCGGCGUCCAUGAAGCCUUUUUUCAACGUUUGACCUCGGAUCAGGUAGGGAUACCCGCUGAACUUAAGCAUAUCAUA